GGUCGACCUGACCAAUUCAGACGCUCCCCUAACCCUCUGCGCCGAUAGCCGCCUGCCGCCUCCCCACCCGCCGUCGACCAUCGCCUCCCUUACCCACCGCCUACAGUCACCUCGCCUACCCGCUGCAGACCGUGGAGUCCAGAACCAGAGAGGAGGAUCGGAUUGCGACGUUGUAUACAUCCUCGAAUUGGGUUCAAACACUCGAGGAUAUGUCUCAUAGUACCAUGACCAGAUUCAAGACUCUUCUUAAUCCUGUAAGUUAUUGCCUUGGGAUAAAGGAGACUUUGAUGAGUCAAACACAUUGUUAUUGGAUGAUUCUCCAUACAAGGCCCUUCUUAAUCUUGUUCACACCGCAAUCUUUCCUUAUUCCUACAACUUCAGGCUUAAAGAUGAUAAUUCAUUAGGUUGUUUCUGUUCUUGAUUUUCUGCGAAUACCUUAUGUUCAAUUUUAUCAACACAUAUCCAUGAAAGAAGGGGUGGAAGGACCAUCUGAUGCGAGCUGGGGACAUUGAUAUGAUGCAGGAAGGCAACAAUACUUUUAUUAAUUAUUUAAUAAAUAUUUUAGUUACAUUAGAAUUGCUUAGUAGUUGCUGGUCUUAGUCUUUUAGGUGUUCUAGUUAUUUGAUUUAAUUAGAAGUCUUGUCAAUUCAUUGUGUACUUUAAGGUAACAAUUAGAUUGUGUGUAUUAAUAUAUUUUUUAACGAUGUAACAUUUUACAAUUCUAUAUUAUUGUUAUGUUAUUGA